GAUGAACGCUGGCGGCGUGCCUAAUACAUGCAAGUCGAGCGAACGGACGAGAAGCUUGCUUCUCUGAUGUUAGCGGCGGACGGGUGAGUAACACGUGGAUAACCUACCUAUAAGACUGGGAUAACUUCGGGAAACCGUAGCUAAUACCGGAUAAUAUUUUGAACCGCAUGGUUCAAAAGUGAAAGACGGUCUUGCUGUCACUUAUAGAUGGAUCCGCGCUGCAUUAGCUAGUUGGUAAGGUAACGGCUUACCAAGGCAACGAUGCAUAGCCGACCUGAGAGGGUGAUCGGCCACACUGGAACUGAGACACGGUCCAGACUCCUACGGGAGGCAGCAGUAGGGAAUCUUCCGCAAUGGGCGAAAGCCUGACGGAGCAACGCCGCGUGAGUGAUGAAGGUCUUCGGAUCGUAAAACUCUGUUAUUAGGGAAGAACAUAUGUGUAAGUAACUGUGCACAUCUUGACGGUACCUAAUCAGAAAGCCACGGCUAACUACGUGCCAGCAGCCGCGGUAAUACGUAGGUGGCAAGCGUUAUCCGGAAUUAUUGGGCGUAAAGCGCGCGUAGGCGGUUUUUUAAGUCUGAUGUGAAAGCCCACGGCUCAACCGUGGAGGGUCAUUGGAAACUGGAAAACUUGAGUGCAGAAGAGGAAAGUGGAAUUCCAUGUGUAGCGGUGAAAUGCGCAGAGAUAUGGAGGAACACCAGUGGCGAAGGCGACUUUCUGGUCUGUAACUGACGCUGAUGUGCGAAAGCGUGGGGAUCAAACAGGAUUAGAUACCCUGGUAGUCCACGCCGUAAACGAUGAGUGCUAAGUGUUAGGGGGUUUCCGCCCCUUAGUGCUGCAGCUAACGCAUUAAGCACUCCGCCUGGGGAGUACGACCGCAAGGUUGAAACUCAAAGGAAUUGACGGGGACCCGCACAAGCAGUGGAGCAUGUGGUUUAAUUCGAAGCAACGCGAAGAACCUUACCAAAUCUUGACAUCCUUUGACAACUCUAGAGAUAGAGCCUUCCCCUUCGGGGGACAAAGUGACAGGUGGUGCAUGGUUGUCGUCAGCUCGUGUCGUGAGAUGUUGGGUUAAGUCCCGCAACGAGCGCAACCCUUAAGCUUAGUUGCCAUCAUUAAGUUGGGCACUCUAAGUUGACUGCCGGUGACAAACCGGAGGAAGGUGGGGAUGACGUCAAAUCAUCAUGCCCCUUAUGAUUUGGGCUACACACGUGCUACAAUGGACAAUACAAAGGGCAGCGAAACCGCGAGGUCAAGCAAAUCCCAUAAAGUUGUUCUCAGUUCGGAUUGUAGUCUGCAACUCGACUACAUGAAGCUGGAAUCGCUAGUAAUCGUAGAUCAGCAUGUUACGGUGAAUACGUUCCCGGGUCU
rnacentral:rRNA from 1 species